rnacentral:rRNA from 1 species
AGAGUUUGAUCAUGGCUCAGAAUCAACGUUGGCGGCGCGCUUAACACAUGCAAGUCGAACGAGAAAGGGGAGCAAUCCCUGAGUAAAGUGGCGUCCGGGUGAGUAACACGUGGAUAAUCUACCUUCUGGUGGGGAAUAACCCUGGGAAACCGGGGCUAAUACCGCAUAAGUCCGAGAGGAGAAAGGCGCAAGUCGCCGGAAGAGGAGUCCGCGGUCGAUUAGCUAGUUGGUAGGGUAAAAGCCUACCAAGGCAUUGAUCGAUAGCCGGCCUGAGAGGGCACACGGCCACACUGGCACUGAAACACGGGCCAGACUCCUACGGGAGGCAGCAGUGGGGAAUCUUGCACAAUGGGGGAAACCCUGAUGCAGCGACGCCGCGUGAGUGAUGAAGCCCUUCGGGGUGUAAAGCUCUUUCGACAGGGACGAUAAUGACGGUACCUGGAGAAGAAGCUGCGGCUAACUACGUGCCAGCAGCCGCGGUAAUACGUUGGCAGCAAACGUUGUUCGGAGUUACUGGGCGUAAAGAGUGCGUAGGCGGUUCGCCAAGUUUGGUGUGAAAUCUCCCGGCUUAACUGGGAGGGUGCGCCGAAAACUGGCGAGCUUGAGUGUGGGAGAGGGAAGCGGAAUUCCUGGUGUAGCGGUGAAAUGCGUAGAUAUCAGGAGGAACACCGGUGGUGUAGACGGCUUCCUGGACCACAACUGACGCUGAGGCACGAAAGCGUGGGUAGCAAACAGGAUUAGAUACCCUGGUAGUCCACGCCCUAAACGAUGCAAACUUGGUGUAGGCAGUUCAGUCUGUCUGUGCCGGAGCUAACGCGUUAAGUUUGCCGCYUGGGGAGUACGGUCGCAAGGCUGAAACUCAAAGGAAUGACGG